ACUGCAAUUUUAUUUAGAUAGACCUGUUAAUCAAAUAUAUAAACCUUUUAUAUGUAAAUAUCGUAUCUCCGCCCAUAGCCUCAAUAUAGAAACAGGCAGAUAUUACAAUGUAGAUAGAGAAAACAGAUUAUGUACUAUGUGCAAUAACAAUAUGGUAGAAGAUGAAUACCAUGUUAUUCUAGAAUGUAAUAGAUAUAGUGAUGUAAGAAAACUAUACAUUAAGAAAUAUUAUUGGCAAUAUCCAUCCAC
rnacentral:lncRNA from 1 species